CCUACGGGCGGCAGCAGUCGAGAAUCAUUCACAAUGGGGGAAACCCUGAUGGGGCGACGCCGCGUGGGGGAAUGAAGGUCUGCGGAUUGUAAACCCCCGUCAUGUGGGAGCAAAUUAAAAAGAUAGUACCACAAGAGGAAGAGACGGCUAACUCUGUGCCAGCAGCCGCGGUAAUACAGAGGUCUCAAGCGUUGUUCGGAAUCACUGGGCGUAAAGCGUGCGUAGGCUGUUUCGUAAGUCGUGUGUGAAAGGCCCGGGCUCAACCCGCGGACGGCACAUGAUACUGCGAGACUAGAGUAAUGGAGGGGGAACCGGAAUUCUCGGUGUAGCAGUGAAAUGCGUAGAUAUCGAGAGGAACACUCGUGGCGAAGGCGGGUUCCUGGACAUUAACUGACGCUGAGGCACGAAGGCCAGGGGAGCGAAAGGGAUUAGAUACCCCAGUAGUC
rnacentral:rRNA from 1 species